ensembl:snoRNA
AACCUUUUGUAGUUCAUAAGCAUGAUGAUUGGGUGUUCACUCAUAUAUGUGAGAUGUGACCCCUUGAACCUUGUUACCACGUGGGCACAUUACCCAUCUGACA